rnacentral:rRNA from 1 species
AUUGAACGCUGGCGGCAUGCUUUACACAUGCAAGUCGAACGGAAGCGCGGGCUUCGGCCUGGCGGCGAGUGGCGAACGGGUGAGUAAUGCAUCGGAACGUGCCCAGUAGUGGGGGAUAGCCCGGCGAAAGCCGGAUUAAUACAGCAUACGACAUGAGGGUGAAAGCGGGGGACCGAAAGGCCUCGCGCUAUUGGAGCGGCCGAUGACGGAUUAGCUAGUUGGUGGGGUAAAGGCUUACCAAGGCGACGAUCCGUAGCUGGUCUGAGAGGACGACCAGCCACACUGGGACUGAGACACGGCCCAGACUCCUACGGGAGGCAGCAGUGGGGAAUUUUGGACAAUGGGGGCAACCCUGAUCCAGCCAUGCCGCGUGCGGGAAGAAGGCCUUCGGGUUGUAAACCGCUUUUGUUCGGGAAGAAAUCCUCUGGGCUAAUACCCCGGGGGGAUGACGGUACCGGAAGAAUAAGCACCGGCUAACUACGUG